CUAAGCCCAAGGUGCACAUUUUGUUCCGGUUUCAAAAUGGCUGGGUGUUGCAAGAGUCUUACCUCAGUUCUCUUCGAAUACGACACAUCUAAAGUGGUUCACAUUCAAAGUAAGACAAUCGGAAUCAUCAACAGACUUAUUCAACUCAGUAUAAUCUGCUACGUCAUCAUCUACGUUAUGAUAUACAAGAAAGGCUACCAAGACACACAGAAACCCUACAGUUCUAUAACAACAAAAGUUAAGGGAGUAUGGUCAACAAACUUGACACCUGUGGUGAAUGAAAGUUUUCCAUUAUACGAUGGAAUUCAUGUGUGGGAUUCACCAGAUUACAUUGUUCCACCUGAGGAAAAUGGUGCUUUCUUUGUGAUGACAAACAUGAUCAUCACUCCAGAUCAAUCACAAGGUGCUUGUCCAGAAGAUCCUGACCUUAUGGAUGUGAAAUGUGAUAAUGACAGUGACUGUGAAGCUAUGGAACCCAUCCACUAUGGACAUGGGAUCAAGACUGGGAGAUGUGUAAAGGCAGACAGAGGUAAUAAGACCCGCAUGAAAGUGUGUGAGAUCUAUGCCUGGUGUCCCGUGGAAAUAGAUGAAAUACCCAUGCCCCAUUUCAACCUCAGUUAUGGAGUUCCACUUUUGGAGACAGAGAACUUCACAGUUUUGAUAAAAAAUACUGUUCAGUUUCCAAAGUUUAAGCAGUCAAAGCGGAACAUCCCAUCUGAUCGUAAUUCAUCCUAUCUUAAGAUGUGCAUUUAUGAUCCAGAUAAGGAACCUCAUUGCCCCAUCAUCAAACUAGGAACCAUUGUGAAACAAGCAGGAGAAGACUACAAGAAUCUAGCUUAUAAGGGUGGUGUUAUGGGCAUUAUUAUCAACUGGGACUGUAACUUUGAUUCUUUAAGUUAUUCUUGUGAGCCAAAAUAUUCCUUUCGACGACUAGAUGAUGCUAAAGCACCAAUUGCACCGGGAUAUAACUUCAGGUUUGCUAGAUACUAUGAGAAAGAUGGAAAACUACACAGGACCUUGUUCAAAGCAUACGGUAUCCGCUAUGUAGUAUUGGUCUAUGGUCAGCGUGCAACAUGCGGGUCACCAUGGUUACGUACUGGGCUAGUUAUAUUGAUAGAUAGAUAGAUAGAUAAAUUUAUUUCAAUUCGAGAUAUACAAUGAACCAGCGACUCGUACUAAAUACAUUUGAAUAUAUAAAAUUCUACGUCUACAGUUAACCAAAAGCAUACAGAUACUAUAUAUUAAUAUAAAUUACUUCAGAUAAUAUACUUCCUAAAAAAGAAUACAUAAUAUGGUAACAUGGUUUCCAGUGACUCGUAAAGUAUUAUUACUUGUGAUAAAUAUACUAAAAAUAAAUGCUUAACAUGACGAACUGGUGAUGUAUAACAGCAUAGUGGUAAAAAUGCGAGAAAUAAAUACCAAUGUAAAAAAAGAAAAAAACAAAAAAAAUAAAAAAAAGGUCGGUAGAAUAAUUAGGUAAUGAAAUAAACUAGGAUAGUUAGGUAAUAAAAUAAACUAAGAUAUAUAAAGAACGGUAGAGCUAACUUUAUUGUUCACAUAUGUUACAUUUGCACAAUGUGCCACUAGUAAGAUUGGUUUUCGUGAUAGCUUUUUUAAAUUUGUUUAUGGAGUCAAGUUGCCUGAGUUUAGUAGGGAGAUUGUUCCACAUACGAGUAACCAGAUAGGUAAAUGAUUUGUGAGUCCAUUUACUGUUCGAUAUUGGCUGGGCUAGUCUGAGGUUGCCCCCUCUUAAAUUAUAGCGGCUUAGAAGGACUUGAAAGUGGUCUCUUAUGUACUUAGGACCUCGCUCAGAAACUAAGGCUUGAUAAGCCAGAGACAAGGAGUGGCAUAAGCGUCGGUGUUCAAGAGUCUGAAGGUUGGCUGUUUUUAAGGCAUCUUUACAUGCACUAUCGUGGGGUAGUUUGAAGAUAGAUCUGAGACCAAAACUAUUGGCUUUCUCAAGCUUAUCGCGAAGUCCAUUAGUAAUUCCAAGUAAUAACGGGCUGCAAUAUUCAAAAUGCGGUAAGAUGAAGGCCUUGUAAAGCUUUGCCGCGGUUUCAAUGGAGAUCACAUUCUUUAUUUGUUGGAUAGCUGAAAGUUUAGCAUACACUUUGUUAAGAGUGUUCUUGAUAUGAAGAUUCAUCGACAAGGUACUGUCAAUAGUGACGCCAAGUAGUUCCAAGCAUUCUUUCUGUCCAAUGGCUUCGUUCUGGAGCAUAAAAGUAGGAAAGGUGUCACAGUUACCAAGGAUAAUAGCCUUAGUUUUCGUAGAAUUAGCUGUCAGGUAGCUUAGCGUAAGACAGUGUGAAAUUGAGACGAGAUCUUUCUUGAUCUUAAUUUCCAGGAGGUUGGGAGAUGAGUUGCUAACGUACAAGGUAAUAUCGUCAGCAUAUAGUUUGAGGGAUGAGUUAUCACAGAAAAACUGAGUUCAUGUCAUUAAUAAAGAUGUUGAAAAAAAGAGGGCCCAACAGGCUCCCUUGCAGGACCCCUCUUUUAACAGUUCGCCGGUUGGAAAAGUUUCCAUUUAGCUUUACUCUUUGGAGACGACAGUCUAGAUAAGAGUUCAUAAGUUUAACAGAGUUGUAACCCAGGCUAUACGCACGCAACUCGGCAGUAAGUAAUCUAUGGCACAUAGCAUCAAAGGCUCUGCUGAGAUCGAUGAUAAUAGCAGCCACACAUUGUUUUUGAUCAAGGGAAGGGCGCCAAUUCUCAGUCGUUUUAACAAGUGCUGUGCUGCAGGAAUGACCGUUUAGAAAUCCAGAAAGCGAGUCACAAAGCUUGACUUAAAUCCACUCAUACAACUGGUCGUAGACGACACGUUCGGCGAUCUUUGGUAUUGCAGGCAAUAAAGAUAUUGGUCGAUAGUUGGCCUUAUCACUUCUGUCAUCCUUCUUAAAAACAGGGACAACAUUUGAGCGCUUCCACACAGAAGGCCAACAGCCAUUAGUAAUAAUCCUGUUAAUGAGGGUAGUGAGAGAUUUGGUGAUUGCUGAAGAAGAAAUCUUGAGAAUUCUAGGAGAUAGACCAUUGGGACCAGUGGACUUUCUGGAAUCAAAUGCUGCUAACAGUUUUAUUGAAAAAAAAUUAGCCCCCCUUCUAUGCAAAGCGAAUAGAGCAAAUGUUACCGAGAAUAUCGCUUGCGCGUUGUUUGUGACUCAAGGAUUCAGCUGUUGUACGGGCCAAAAGUAACCAGAAAAUGGGUGGAACUACUUGCAACUAUGAAAUGAAAAGCGAAAUACGAGGAUAUCGUGUUUAUGGAAACACCAGGAAACCCUCAAUUUAUGAGACCGAUCUAACUGGAAAUAAACUCGUGGGACACCUGCCGGCAGAAUUCAGCCGUAUUGCUUGUUAUUUUAUUAAUAACGGUGACUGGAAAGAGGGUUCACUCACAAGGUCCUCGAGGAGGAAUGGCUAUUCCAUGCAAAUUACAGUGGACGUCUUCAAAUAAGAAACGUGUUCGCAAGCUGGAUAAACUUAUUACAGCCGAGAGAAGCAAAAUUCUUGGAAGAUAUGGGCUAAUUUAACGGUGGUCAGUUCAGCGUUGUCCCUUUGUUUCUGAAUUUGGGUUCUGGUCUUGCCCUUCUGGGAAUUGCGACAGUGUUGUGUGACAUUGUUAU